UUCUUAUGUGGGACUGCAUAACCUUUGUUCCUUUUCUCCAGCCCCAUUGUGAUUAAAUGUGGGUUAAUGAAUAAAGAUGCUUGUUAGUUUUGGAACACUAGAUAAAAAUCUGUAACAGACCUAAAGUUCCAAAGUAAACUACUCAACGCCUUGUUUGCCCGGAACUGAUGUUACAGACCCCACAAUCUAUAGAACAAGCUGCAAAUGUCUGCUGACCAUCAAUAUGUGACAGUCGACCACCAACCUUUGUCCCCUUUUCUUUAAUUCUAUAUGUUAACUUCCUCCUCAACCCCCUAUAAGAAGAGCCUCGGACUCUGAGCCAGUUGCCUCUCUAAGCUAUUUUGCUUUGGGAGUGCCCUCUGGCCAGACUAACAAAGGUCUGUUUUAUUUUCCAACUUGUCCGGUGUGUUCCUUUCCGGGUGUUCUUCGCUGCAGUCGGCUCCUCGGAGUGUUUGGCAAGGCUCUUGGUCUUACAUUCUGGAGGCACUGCUGGGAUCCCUGGGUGUGCUUCACUACAGUCAGCUCCUCAGAGCGUUUGGUAAGGCCCUUGGUCUUACAUUCUGGAGGCACUGCUGGGAUCCCUGGGUGUGCUUCACUACAGUCAGCUCCUCAGAGCGUUUGGUAAGGCCCCAGGUCUUACAUUUUGGAGGCCCCAGCGAGAUCCCGGGUAAGGAACCCCAGUUCAGCUGAGACUCUGUGGUGGGAUCCAGCAGGAGACUCAGGCACAGGCCUCAGAAAACCUCCGGAGCCUGUUUCUAGCACCUGUGAGCCAGCCCCUCUUUGCCUUCAAAUGGACUGACCCAGACACUGGGACUACCAGACAGCUGACAUGGACCCAGCUGCCGCAGGGAUUCAAAAACUCCCCCACUCUGUUUGGGGAAGCUCUCAGCAAAGAUUUACAAGAGCCACCAAGGGCCUCCUGAAAGCCCUCCAGGAACUGGGAUAUCAGGUGUCCUGGAAGAAAGCUCAACUCUGCCAGACCAAGGUACUCACAGAAAAACCUGAAUACACAGAUAAAGUAGCGGAAAUGAACAGGAGACGCUGGACUUGA
rnacentral:lncRNA from 1 species